AUGCUCCGCCGGGACAGCAGAGACGGACAUCGCCGGUGCGGUGGCUCCGGCGCCGGCGCCGGCGGGAGCCCUCCCCACCGUGAAAACCCUAGCGCUCCUGCGUCCAGUCCCCAGCGGUCCGCGAGAAGCCAUCGACGCGACGCGGAGCCUGAUGGUGAUGGACCCGUCGUCGCUUCCUCGGUCGCCCCGAUUUCCUCCCCCGCGGCACCGCUGCCGGGUUCCGGUCCCCGGUGGCGACGCUCCCGGAUUGGCUUAUACAUCCGGAGGCCAAUCCUGCACGGGAUGCCCUAACUGGACCCUCUUACAGAAUUGACUAGCAGUUAAUUUACCUGUG
rnacentral:lncRNA from 3 species